AUUGAACGCUGGCGGCAUGCCUUACACAUGCAAGUCGAACGGCAGCACGGGAGCAAUCCUGGUGGCGAGUGGCGAACGGGUGAGUAAAGUAUCGGAACGUGCCCAGUCGUGGGGGAUAACGUAGCGAAAGUUACGCUAAUACCGCAUACGAUCUAUGGAUGAAAGAGGGGGAUCGCAAGACCUCGCGCGAUUGGAGCGGCCGAUAUCAGAUUAGGUAGUUGGUGGGGUAAAGGCUUACCAAGCCGACGAUCUGUGGCUGGUCUGAGAGGACGACCAGCCACACUGGGACUGAUACACGGCCCAGACUCCUACGGGAGGCAGCAGUGGGGAAUUUUGGACAAUGGGCGAAAGCCUGAUCCAGCCAUGCCGCGUGCAGGAUGAAGGCCUUCGGGUUGUAAACUGCUUUUGUACGGAACGAAAAGGUUUGGGCUAAUAAGCUGAGCUCAUGACGGUACCGUAAGAAUAAGCACCGGCUAACUACGUGCCAGCCGCCGCGGUAA
rnacentral:rRNA from 1 species